UACGUAGGGUGCUAGCGUUGUUCGGAAUCAUUGGGCGUAAAGCGCGUGUAGGUGGUUAGGAAAGUUGGAUGUGAAAUACCUGGGCUCAACUCAGGAAGGGCAUCCAAAACUACUUAGCUAGAGGACGAGAGAGGGAGGUGGAAUUCCUAGUGUAGAGGUGAAAUUCGUAGAUAUUAGGAGGAAUACCGGGGGCGAAGGCGGCCUCCUGGAUCGUUCCUGACACUGAGACGCGAAAGCGUGGGUAGCAAACAGG
rnacentral:rRNA from 1 species